UUGCAGUUAAAAAGCUCGUAGUUGGAUUUCGGAGUGGGCCAGUUGGUCCGCCGCAAGGUGUGUUACUGACUGGUUUGCUCUUCUUCGCAAAGACUGCGUGUGCUCUUCAGUGAGUGUGCGUAGGAUUUACGACGUUUACUUUGAAAAAAUUAGAGUGUUCAAAGCAGGCUAUUGCUUGAAUACAUGAGCAUGGAAUAAUGGAAUAGGACUUUGGUCCCAUUUUGUUGGUUUCUAGGGCCGAAGUAAUGAUUAAGAGGGACAAUUGGGGGCAUCCGUAUUUCGUUGUCAGAGGUGAAAUUCUUGGAUUUACGAAAGACGAACAACUGCGAAAGCACUUGCCAAGAGUGUUUUCAUUAAUCAAGAACGAAAGUUAGAGGAUCGAAGACGAUCAGAUACCGUCCUAGUUCUAACCAUAAACGAUGCCAGCUAGCGAUCUGCCGGCGCUUAAUUUUCUGGCCUGGCAGGGAGCUUCCGGGAAACCAAAGCUUGUGGGUUCCAGGGGAAGUAUGGUUGCAAAGCUGAAACUUAAAGUAAUUUGACGGAAAGGGCACCACCAGG
rnacentral:rRNA from 1 species